rnacentral:sRNA from 1 species
UGAAUUAUCAUUGAUAAAGGGGACAAAGGUGAUCGUCAUGGAGAAAUGCAGUGAUGGGUGGUGGCGUGGUAGCUACAAUGGACAAGUUGGAUGGUUCCCUUCAAACUAUGUUACUGAAGAAGGUGACAGUCCUUUGGGUGACCAUGUGGGUUCUCUGUCAGAGAAAUUAGCAGCAGUCGUCAAUAACCUAAAUACUGGGCAAGUGUUGCAUGUGGUACAGGCUCUUUACCCAUUCAGCUCAUCUAAUGAUGAAGAACUUAAUUUCGAGAAAGGAGAUGUAAUGGAUGUUAUUGAAAAACCUGAAAAUGACCCAGAGUGGUGGAAAUGCAGGAAGAUCAAUGGUAUGGUUGGUCUAGUACCAAAAAACUAUGUUACCGUUAUGCAGAAUAAUCCAUUAACUUCAGGUUUGGAACCAUCACCUCCACAGUGUGAUUACAUUAGGCCUUCACUCACUGGAAAGUUUGCUGGCAAUCCUUGGUAUUAUGGCAAAGUCACCAGGCAUCAAGCAGAAAUGGCAUUAAAUGAAAGAGGACAUGAAGGGGAUUUCCUCAUUCGUGAUAGUGAAUCUUCGAUACUGCUUAGGAUAUUAGAAUUUGAUGACACUCAUUUUCCUUAAAAAUGGCCUUUCUUUUUCCUUGAUGAAAGAUAUCACUACUUUUCCAUUUAUUAAAUCAUGGUUAAUCUUGGCUU